rnacentral:tRNA from 1 species
CAGAGCAUAGCUAAGACUAAAGGAUAGCAACUCCCUUACACUGAGAAGUCAUUCGUGCAAACCGAAUUGCUCUGA